GUAGGCUGCAACUCGCCUACACGAAGCUGGAAUCGCUAGUAAUCGCGGAUCAGCACGCCGCGGUGAAUACGUUCCCGGGCCUUGUACACACCGCCCGUCACACCAUGAGGGUCUGUAACACCCAAAGCCGGUGGGAUAACCUUUAUAGGAGUCAGCCGUCUAAGGUAGGACAGAUGAUUAGGGUGAAGUCGUAACAAGGUAAC
rnacentral:rRNA from 1 species